rnacentral:rRNA from 1 species
GACGAACGCUGGCGGCGUGCUUAACACAUGCAAGUCGAGCGGUAAGGCCCUUUCGGGGUACGACGAGCGGCGAACGGGUGAGUAACACGUGGGUGGACCUGCCCUCAGCUCUGGGAGUAAGCCUGGGAAACCGGGUCUAAUACUGGAUAUGACUCCAUGACGCAUGUUGUGGGGUGGAAAGCCUUGUGCGGCUGAGGAUGGGCCCGCGGCCUAUCAGCUUGUUGGUGGGGUGAUGGCCUACCAAGGCGACGACGGGUAGCCGGCCUGAGAGGGCGACCGGCCACACUGGGACUGAGACACGGCCCAGACUCCUACGGGAGGCAGCAGUGGGGAAUCUUGCGCAAUGGGCGAAAGCCUGACGCAGCGACGCCGCGUGAGGGAUGACGGCC